rnacentral:rRNA from 1 species
CGUUAAAAGGAAGUUGACGGGGCCGCACAAGCGGUGGAGCAUGUGGUUAAUUCGAUGAUACGCGAAGAACCUUACCGGGGUUUGACAUGCAGGUGAUCGCCGUUGAAGACGGUUUCCUCUUCGGAGGCACCUGCACAGGUGCUGCAUGGCUGUCGUCAGCUCGUGUCGUGAGAUGUUGGGUUAAGUCCCGCAACGAGCGCAACCCUUAUCCCUAGUUGCCAUCAGGUAAAGCUGGGAACUCUGGGGAGACUGCCGGUGAUAAACCGGAGGAAGGCGGGGAUGACGUCAAGUCCUCAUGGCCCUUACAUCCCGGGCUACACACGUGCUACAAUGGCAGGUACAGAGGGCUGCGAAGCCGCGAGGUGGAGCGAAUCCCAGAAAACCUGUCUCAGUCCGGAUUGAAGUCUGCAACUCGACUUCAUGAAGGCGGAAUCGCUAGUAACCGCGAAUCAGCAGGUCGCGGUCGAAUACGUUCCCGGGCCUU